AAAAAUUCUUAUUUGCGUAGGGUAUGCAGUGAGACAAAAAAUUCUUAUUUGCGUGUCCUCUCAAAUUUCUAUUAUUUGCCCCUUUGUUUCUAAUUUUAAUAUAAUUUUGUUCAUGUUGUAGCCCUUAGGUGUUAAAGAUGGAGGACUCAUCUCCAAGUGUUGAUAUAAUUUUAAUAUAAUUUUGUUAUAAUUUUGUUCAUGUUGCAGUAAGAUUCCC
rnacentral:lncRNA from 1 species